GACAGAGGGGGCAAGCGUUGCUCGGAAUCACUGGGCGUAAAGGGCGCGUAGGCGGGAUGGCAAGUCGGUCGUGAAAUCCUUCGGCCCAACCGAAGAACGUCGGCCGAUACUGCCGUUCUUGAGGGAUGCAGAGGAGACUGGAAUUCCCGGUGUAGCGGUGGAAUGCGUAGAUAUCGGGAGGAACACCAGUGGCGAAGGCGGUUGCCUGGAGCUUUGCUGACGCUGAUGCGCGAAAGCGUGGGGAGCGAUCCGG
rnacentral:rRNA from 1 species